rnacentral:rRNA from 1 species
CGGGUGAGUAAUAUAUCGGAACGUGCCCUGUGAGUGGGGGAUAACGCAGCGAAAGUUGCGCUAAUACCGCAUACGAUCUAAGGAUGAAAGCAGGGGACCGCAAGGCCUUGUGCUCCUGGAGCGGCCGAUAUCUGAUUAGCUAGUUGGUGGGGUAAAGGCCUACCAAGGCAUCGAUCAGUAGCUGGUCUGAGAGGACGACCAGCCACACUGGAACUGAGACACGGUCCAGACUCCUACGGGAGGCAGCAGUGGGGAAUUUUGGACAAUGGGCGAAAGCCUGAUCCAGUCUAAUGCCGCGUGAGUGAAGAAGGCCUUCGGGUUGUAAAGCUCUUUUGUCAGGGAGGAAACGGUGCGGGCUAAUAUCCUGCACUAAUGACGGUACCUGAAGAAUAAGCACCGGCUAACUACGUGCCAGCAGCCGCGGUAAUACGUAGGGUGCAAGCGUUAAUCGGAAUUACUGGGCGUAAAGCGUGCGCAGGCGGUUUUGUAAGUCUGUCGUGAAAUCCCCGGGCUCAACCUGGGAAUUGCGAUGGAGACUGCAAGGCUAGAAUCUGGCAGAGGGGGGUAGAAUNCCACGUGUAGCAGUGAAAUGCGUAGAGAUGUGGAGGAACACCGAUGGCGAAGGCAGCCCCCUGGGUCAAGAUUGACGCUCAUGCACGAAAGCGUGGGGAGCAAACAGGAUUAGAUACCCUGGUAGUCCACGCCCUAAACGAUGUCUACUAGUUGUCGGGUUUUAAUUAACUUGGUUACGCAGCUAACGCGUGAAGUAGACCGCCUGGGGAGUACGGAUCGCAAGAUUAAAACUCAAAGGAAUUGACGGGGACCCGCACAAGCGGUGGAUGAUGUGGAUUAAUUCGAUGCAACGCGAAAAACCUUACCUACCCUUGACAUGUACGGAAGCCACGAGAGAUCGAGGUGUGCUCGAAAGAGAGCCGUAACACAGGUGCUGCAUGGCUGUCGUCAGCUCGUGUCGUGAGAUGUUGGGUUAAGUCCCGCAACGAGCGCAACCCUUGUCAUUAGUUGCUACGAAAGAGCACUCUAAUGAGACUGCCGGUGACAAACCGGAGGAAGGUGGGGAUGACGUCAAGUCCUCAUGGCCCUUAUGGGUAGGGCUUCACACGUCAUACAAUGGUACAUACAGAGGGCCGCCAACCCGCGAGGGGGAGCUAAUCCCAGAAAGUGUAUCGUAGUCCGGAUUGUAGUCUGCAACUCGACUACAUGAAGUUGGAAUCGCUAGUAAUCGCGGAUCAGCAUGUCGCGGUGAAUACGUUCCCGGGUCUUGUACACACCGCCCGUCACACCAUGGGAGCGGGUUUUACCAGAAGUAGGUAGCUUAACCANCAAGGGGGGCGCUUACCACGGU